AACGGCCAUACCAGGCUGAAUACACCGGUUCUUGCUAGAUCACUGAAGUCACAUCAUUGGGCGCGGCUGUGCAGUUCUGGGUGGGUGACCACCUGGGAACACCGCGUGCCGU